rnacentral:rRNA from 1 species
UACGGAGGGUGCAAGCGUUGUUCGGAAUUACUGGGCGUAAAGGGCGUGUAGGCGGCAUGGUAAGUCAGAUGUGAAAGCCCUGGGCUUAACCCAGGAAGUGCAUUUGAUACUGCUAUUCUUGAGUAUGGGAGAGGAGAGUGGAAUUCCCAGUGUAGAGGUGAAAUUCGUAGAUAUUGGGAGGAACAUCCGUGGCGAAGGCGACUCUCUGGACCAAUACUGACGCUGAGACGCGAAAGCGUGGGGAGCAAACAGG